rnacentral:rRNA from 1 species
GUCGAGCGGACAGAAGGGAGCUUGCUCCCGGAUGUUAGCGGCGGACGGGUGAGUAACACGUGGGUAACCUGCCUGUAAGACUGGGAUAACUCCGGGAAACCGGAGCUAAUACCGGAUAGUUCCUUGAACCGCAUGGUUCAAGGAUGAAAGACGGUUUCGGCUGUCACUUACAGAUGGACCCGCGGCGCAUUAGCUAGUUGGUGAGGUAACGGCUCACCAAGGCGACGAUGCGUAGCCGACCUGAGAGGGUGAUCGGCCACACUGGGACUGAGACACGGCCCAGACUCCUACGGGAGGCAGCAGUAGGGAAUCUUCCGCAAUGGACGAAAGUCUGACGGAGCAACGCCGCGUGAGUGAUGAAGGUUUUCGGAUCGUAAAGCUCUGUUGUUAGGGAAGAACAAGUGCAAGAGUAACUGCUUGCACCUUGACGGUACCUAACCAGAAAGCCACGGCUAACUACGUGCCAGCAGCCGCGGUAAUACGUAGGUGGCAAGCGUUGUCCGGAAUUAUUGGGCGUAAAGGGCUCGCAGGCGGUUUCUUAAGUCUGAUGUGAAAGCCCCCGGCUCAACCGGGGAGGGUCAUUGGAAACUGGGAAACUUGAGUGCAGAAGAGGAGAGUGGAAUUCCACGUGUAGCGGUGAAAUGCGUAGAGAUGUGGAGGAACACCAGUGGCGAAGGCGACUCUCUGGUCUGUAACUGACGCUGAGGAGCGAAAGCGUGGGGAGCGAACAGGAUUAGAUACCCUGGUAGUCCACGCCGUAAACGAUGAGUGCUAAGUGUUAGGGGGUUUCCGCCCCUUAGUGCUGCAGCUAACGCAUUAAGCACUCCGCCUGGGGAGUACGGUCGCAAGACUGAAACUCAAAGGAAUUGACGGGGGCCCGCACAAGCGGUGGAGCAUGUGGUUUAAUUCG